GGCUUCUCUGGAAAUCCAGGCGGGGAUGGGGGUUGGGGUGGUUUCAGGGUGUGGAGAAGAGGCCUUUAGGCCCCAGGAGAGAGAGGUACUGUGUGAGGGGCAAGGGGUUUGUCUCUCCCUGUUGCCCAUAUGGGGACCAAGAUAGUUUGCACCCCUUUUGUCUACCCCUGUUGGGGACAGUGGAGCAGCCACCUGAGGCCAGGCAGAGGUUGCAGGGCACAUCUGCUUCAGCCCUUACUGUGCCUGUCAGUACCCAGUGCCUCCCAUUUCUAGGAGAGAUAUCCUGAAGUGGCAGAGAGACCGAGGUCCCCACGGCAUGGAUAGUACCCUCCCUACCAGGGUCAGCUGCCACUAAAACACCCAUGGCAUCUCUGCUUGUGACAACCCCAGACUGGAAGCAAAUCCCCUGUCUCCCACCCUUGAACAGCAAGCAGUGAGUGUGGUUUGUACACAGUAGUAGUGGCCAGAGGGUCAGACACAGCUGCACAGACCUGAGGACACUCCACAAGCAGAAGAAGCCAGGCCCCCUGUGUGGUUAUAUCUAGGGAAGGGUCUCAGCCCAGCUAGAUGGUCUAGGCUGUGACCAGACAAGUGCUCAAGGGGCUCCAGACCAUGCAGCCAGGCCACUGAGGGGAGCCUGCCAGGCCAUGCUCCGCAGUGGAUGUGUCUGCACAUGUGCUCACUGGGCCAGAAGUGGAGGGGGACAAAGCUAGCUCCAAGCUAUGUGGCCACGUUGUGCCCUCCCAGGCAUGUCCUCCAGGACCCAGUGCCUUCAAGGUUCCAGAGAGGUUGCCAGGUGCACAGUCGGUGUAGCAACCAGGCAGCAGAUGCCUCAGCUUUUGUGAGGCCAACGUUGUAUGACAGGCAGCCUAGACCCCAGGCGCCAGUGUAACCACCUGCUGAAGACUGCCCAGGAGGAAGAGGGAUGUGUGGCUUCCAUCCUGGACAAGUGAUGAGGUGAUAAGGGAAGAACCACAGGGCCCUGUAGCUGAAGAGGCAGGGAUGUGGAGAGACACUGGAUUGACACCAGGGUUCUGCCUGAGGACAAGGGGUUGCUGCAGCAUCUGUGACACCCUGGCCCACCUUUGGGGUUGGCUCCUGUGCAGUGUUCUUGGGCCUCUUCUGCUCUCUGGCCCUGCUGCUUGUUGUGGCCCUGAGGGAUGCCCAGGCUGUAAUCUCUGACUCUGUCCUGCGAGGUGUCUCGUCUCUGUCCCCCAGGUACAGAAUACUCUUUUUCUGGGUCUUCCCACAGCUGGCCUCCUCUCAGGCGUCACCUCCUGAGGGCACGCUAGCCCACCUAACAUAAGUUCUGUGUCCCUCUGCCUUCCAAGUCUGAGCCCUCAGAGCCACCUCCUCUUCUGUGCUUGACAUGGGUCCCAGUUCCACACCCAGGGCUGGACGUGUGUUCACAGAAGGCAGCGACCUUGGACUGAGGCCACAGGCCAAGGAGGCUUCCCCCAGCAGAGUCCCCAGUGGUAAAUAAGCAGCCAAGAAGCACUUGAAGACUGUGUGACUGUCCUGGACAGUCUGGAAGAAUGGACUGGGAUCCAUGCACAAUACAAGGGUUCGGAAGGAGGGGAACAGUAGUCCAUUGAGAUUAACUAGCGAAGAAGGCCUGCUUACAUUGGACAGUAGGAGUGACAUUAGGAAAUAAGCAAAGCCUGUUUGAGAGAAACUUUAAAACCCUCCAGAAGAAGAUCUGACCGAAGAAUGAAGAUACGUUCAUGAAGAAGAAUUCUUGCCAGCAUAGGAGGAUUCUGUGGAGACAUUACACAGUUCUAUAUAUCACAAUAAAAAUGCUAUAAA